CAGGAUUAGUAUGUGCAUAGACACAGAAUAAUGUGCAGACACACAAAUCACUGCUUUCCUAUGGACUUCUUCUUCUGGCACUGAUUUUGUUGCUGUUGUUGGACACAUGCAUUAUAAAUUAAAGACAGAAAAGGCCUCUCUGCAUUUGAUCUUGUAUGCUGAAUACUGAGAAAGAUACUUCUGCAUGAAACAGGAUUUCUAUUGAACAUUCGUGGAAAAAUGCUGUAUGCAUCACGCCCGGUUCAAGGAGAAAGUGAUGUUCUAAACAGAUGACACCCAGAACAAGAUCAGGCCCCAAAAUUCAUAGAGAGGUUAAACAAUUCAUGGCAGAAAGGAAUGCUCAGACAGCCAACAUCUCCAAAACAAUCUCUGAAUACUAAACAAUGCACAGCAAAAACUAGAAUAUUCUGUGUUGUCUUUAAUCACUCACUACCACUUUUUAAAAUUUAAAUUCAUGCCUUUGAGUCAGACUUCGUGCCAAAAGCAAGAGGUCUUAACAGAUACAUUUGAAACCUAUUGUUUAGAUCUGGCACUAGCUGUUCUUCCUCCCCCUGUAGCAGUAGGGAGGUUUUCCAGGUAUGUGGGAGGCAAGUUCCCCAGAGCCAUUAUAUUGCUUGUUCUCUGCAUGAUCUCCUUCAUUAAAUAAUCUUUUAAUGCAACAUUAAUAGUAAUUGCAAGAUUACAGUUCAAAAUAUUUGAUAACAUCACACUAUGCUGUUGAAAAGCAACCGAUCUCUUCUCUAAAGCUGGCUGUGGGGGGCAAGCCUACUGUAAAACACUACCAAUCCCUUGGACUGAAAGCACUGCAGCUCUUUUUGUUAUUUCCAUUCCCAGUCUGGAUAUAUUACAGGUGGUUCAAGCUGGCAAUGGAGAAUGGAAGAAAGGAAAAUAACCAGUUAAUAUGUUUUUUUAUUAUGAAGUUUUCAAAGGAUGUAAACAUGGAAUUUUUCAGUGAUUCACAAAGUAGAGAACUAUUGAUCACUUAUUGGAGAUGAUAUUUAUGUACCAGUACUUGCAUACAUAAUGUUUGUUGUCUCUUUUAUAUCUAUGAGUACUGCAGAAAAGUAAGGCUAUUCAACUUUUACUUUUUUGAGCAAUCUGCUUCUUCUGCCAUAUUCUUCACAUUCUAUAUGAUGUUGAUUCUAAAUUUGAAUAUUGGUAGUAAUACCCAUAACAAUAACACUUACCUGUAGAACUGAUCUGGAUCACAGCUGAAAUUCUACUCAUUCAUUUGUUAUUAUUUUUGCUGUAUAAUAAUUCCUUAACAUUGGACUCUUGACUGUUCAUAAGUUGAAAUAAUCAAAGGCUGCAUCAAGGAGCAUGUCAAGACAGAAGAAUCCAGGAGACAUACAAAUAAAUCAUGUUUUCCACUUGCACAAAGGUGUACAUGUCUUGUAAGAACCUCAGAACAGCUCAGGGUAAACAAAUACUGAAAAAGGGCCUAAAGGAAAAGACCAUAUAUGACUGAUAAGAUUAGUACAGAUGAAAUGCUCAAGAAUCACCAG
ensembl:lncRNA